GAGUUUGAUCCUGGCUCAGGAUGAACGCUAGCGGCAGGCUUAACACAUGCAAGUCGAGGGGUAUAGGUUUUCGGACCUAGAGACCGGCGCACGGGUGCGUAACGCGUAUGUAAUCUACCUUUUACAGAGGGAUAGCCCAGAGAAAUUUGGAUUAAUACCUCAUAGUAUAAUGACUCGGCAUCGAGAUAUUAUUAAAGUUCCAACGGUAAAGAUGAGCAUGCGUCCCAUUAGCUAGAUGGUAAGGUAACGGCUUACCAUGGCGACGAUGGGUAGGGGUCCUGAGAGGGAGAUCCCCCACACUGGUACUGAGACACGGACCAGACUCCUACGGGAGGCAGCAGUGAGGAAUAUUGGUCAAUGGGCGCAAGCCUGAACCAGCCAUGCCGCGUGCAGGAUGACGGUCCUAUGGAUUGUAAACUGCUUUUGUACGGGAAGAACACUCCUACGUGUAGGAGCUUGACGGUACCGUAAGAAUAAGGAUCGGCUAACUCCGUGCCAGCCGCCGCUGU
rnacentral:rRNA from 1 species